GGGCCCGCACAAGCGGUGGAGCAUGUGGUUUAAUGCGAUAAUCCGCGCGAAACCUUACCAGUUCUAGACAUUUUCUUUUUUUUAAGAUUAAAAAGAUAAUCAGGUGUUGCAUGGCUGUCGUCAGCUCGUGUCGUGAGAUGUUGGGGUUAAGUCCCCGCAACGAGCGCAACCCCUGUCCUAUGUUGCCAGCAUUUAGUUGGGGACUCAUAGGAGACUGCCGGUGAUAAACCGGAGGAAGGUGGGGAUGACGUCAAGUCAUCAUGCCCCUUAUGUCCAGGGCUGCACGCAUGCUACAAUGGCAAGUACAACGAGUCGCAAUACCGCGAGGUGGAGCA
rnacentral:rRNA from 1 species